rnacentral:rRNA from 1 species
GAUGAACGCUAGCUACAGGCUUAACACAUGCAAGUCGAGGGGAAACGAUAUUGGAAGCUUGCUUCAGAUAGGCGUCGACAAGCGCACGGGUGAGUAACGCGUAUCCAACAUGCCCACACCUAGGGGAUAACAAUGCGAAAGUAAGACUAAUACCCAAUGAUAUCUCUAGAAGAACUCAGAAGGAGAUUAAAGAUUCAUCGGUGAUGGAUGGGGAUGCGUCUGAUUAGCUUGUUGGCGGGGUAACGGCCCACCAAGGCGACGAUCAGUAGGGGUUCUGAGAGGAAGGUCCCCCACAUUGGAACUGAGACACGGUCCAAACUCCUACGGGAGGCAGCAGUGAGGAAUAUUGGUCAAUGGGCGAGAGCCUGAACCAGCCAAGUAGCGUGCAGGAUGACGGCCCUAUGGGUUGUAAACUGCUUUUAUAAGGGAAUAAAGUGAGUCUCGUGAGACUUUUUGCAUGUACCUAAUGAAUAAGGACCGGCUAAUUCCGUGCCAGCAGCCGCGGUAA